CAUGUGUUUUAAGUACAUAUUUAUGUACCUAAGGUAAUCUCACCUGUAAACUAGUAUACUUUCUUAGUAAGAGAAAACAUUUCUGAAUACAUGCUCUCCUGUAGUAGUUUCCAGCCCCUGAGGGGAUUUUCACUGGGAAAUCUAAGUUUCACAGGUAACAAUUUUCUCAAGCAAAGUUUUGCUGUGAAGAGGAUCUCAUUGCUGUACUAUUUUAUUACUUACGUUGGGCUGUUUUUAUACCCGCUAUAACGCGGGAGGUACAAAAGAAAUAAGCUGGAAUGAAACAAGUUACAAGGACUUGUGCUUUACCAAGAUGCCUGCAGAAAACAACUAGAAGAGAGAAUGAACGCAAGGGUUUAGGAACUGUAAGCUGUUAAAAACAUGUUUGCUGUCUUUACGUUUUCACUUGGACAAUAAUUUUGUGUAAAUGUUUGAUUUUAAAUAUUGCUGAAAGUUUUUUUUUUUUUCCACUGGCAUUUAAUUUAACGUACUUGAGGGGAUUAAUUCAGUUCAACUCCUUACAAGCCUGUGUCUUUAGAGCAGGUGAUUUAUCACUCGAGACAACAGGCUUAAAACUACUUUUCAGAAAAAAUAAUUUUAUCAAAUCUGUGUUCAUUGAAAUAUGAUGUUUAACCUAAAAUUAGAUUUCUGGUGCCUACAGUGUGCAGCUUUCCUUUAAAUAAUUUAACUGUGUCAAUUCCAAGUGUUUUAUACAUACAUUUAGAAAAGUUAGUAAUUCAUUAGAUUUGAAAAUUGAGUAGUACUCAAUUCUGAUUCAGAUUGUUGGUCAGAAAAUCACCUGCCAUCACAGUUGCCUCAACCCCAAAAUUAAAACUUGAUGUUUUACUUUGUUUGGACUACUAUAAGCUUUGGAGUUUCAUAGCAGUAGCAUACAUGUGCUCUUUUAAAAUCAAACUUGGAGAUCUAAUGGUUAUAUUCAAAAUCUGAUUUUUAUGGAAAAGCAUUAAUUAAAGUCUGUAGAAGAUAAAUGACAAAAAAAAUUAACUGGAUAGGGUAUUUACGUAUAUACCGUAUUUAGUUAUUUUGUAGUUGCUUAAUUUCAUUAAAUGCUAUAGAGGAAGGAAAAUGUUCUGAUCUUGUUUCUGAGGAGUAUUUAGAAUAUCCUGUGAAAUCAAUCUCAUUCUCAGGGAGACAGAAGUCUAUAUUCAUGUUUUUGUGUGGGGGGAGAGGGUGCAGAGCCAAGCUGUUUAGUCUACUAAGGCCAGAACAAAAUCACAGCCUUAGCUGAGUCAAAGUGAGUUACGUCAGAUUAUUCUGUUGGGUAACAACAUCAGAAAUAGUUUCUCUUUUUCCCCUGUGAAAUGGUCACAACAAAAAAAAAAAUCAUUUUUUGACAGCAUGACAGAAUCUAAUUUUUCUCAUGUGAAUAUUAUGUAAUGUUAGGAAAAUGGGAGCACUGAGUUUCCUCUACAGUUUUUGAUAUGGAGGGUACUUAUACCCUUCAGCUUUAGGAAAGUAACCUAGUUAACAAAGUUAGGAGCUUACAUUCCAUUUCAGUGCCACUGAAAAUUAAAGCCUCCUAAAUAGAUGCUCUGAAUUGUACUAAAAAGCUCUGUUAACUGGAGUGUUAACCUCAGAUAAGAAGUUAAGAAUAUAUCAUUCAUAAGAAAUUAAAAUCCUGAGUCAGUCAUAGAGCAUUUUCUUCUUCCCCUUUCCACUUCUGUGAGUUAUAUUUGACAUGGUGACUUUUCUUUUUAAAAUGUCUGGCUUGCAGGUUGUUUUCUAUUUGUAGAAUUGUGAGAAUGUUCUGGGUUUUUGAUGACCGUAACACAAUUAACCCAGUGAAAACAAAUUGUAGCCCACUUCUGUAAUAGUUGUAAAGCAGUUUGGGAACCUUUAAUGGAAGGCGCAAGUAUAAUUAAGAAAGGAGUACUAAAUAAUACCAAAUGAUUUGAGACUGCAAUAGUCUGUUUAAAGAAAAAGAAGGAAAAAAAAUGAAGAUAUGUUGUGAAAGUUAGAUAGCUUGUUUAAUUAAUAAAGCAAGCUUUUCUACCGGGUGAAAUGACUGUAAAACAAAUGUGUGAUUUUAGGGAUAGGAACCUGAAGUGUCUAUAUAGUGUAAAAAAAAAAAAAAAAAAG